UUCGCCAAACUUCAUCGUCCUCCUCCUCGCUUUGGGGUUUUAGCGGGCGACCAGAUCGAGCAAGCGAAGCGAGGUCGAGGAGGACGCCGGCGGCGAUCGCCAUCGAUCUACGGAGCCACAGAUCGAAGUCUGGAUUCGGAUUUUUUUUAUAUAUAUGUCGUCUGGUGCCCUCGAUCUAUUUUUGUUAGUCGACGGAAACUUUCCAAACUUGAAUCGGAAGCGCCUCGCUUAUUCUCUUCGCAUUCGAACAACGACGGAGGGAUCGAAGAAGACGGAUUCGAUGCGACAUACUAGAACUUAAAGGCUCAAGGAAUCCUGUUGUUUGGCUUGAAGCUUCUUCAGACUCCAUCCUAACAGCAAGUACAGAUACGUCCACUGUUUUUGAUGCAUACUCCAAGAUGCUUACAAUAUUUAUUCUUCUUCUUGUGGACAAGAGACGCAAAAGAGGAGUGUGAAAGUUCAUUCAUGGAAGGCAAAACCCUCUUUAUUGACUCCAACAUCCCUAUUUAUUAUAAUCUUCAGUGCAUCCCUUGAUGAUGUUAAAGAUAGGAGAGAGCAUUGAUCACUAUCCUCUUCUCCUAGAGUCGCCAUUCUCGUGCAGAUGGAAAUUAUAUCAUUUAAGCUCCCAGUUCUACUAGCUGAGUUUUUGCUAUGUGUGAUGAUCUUCUUGUUUUGUUCUUAAUUGCAAGAUUUUUUUUUUUUGUAAGUUUACUAAAUUGA